rnacentral:rRNA from 1 species
AAUUGGAGGGCAAGUCUGGUGCCAGCAGCCGCGGUAAUUCCAGCUCCAAUAGCGUAUAUUAAAGUUGUUGCAGUUAAAAAGCUCGUAGUUGAAUUUCGGGGUUAGUAGGUUGGUCAUGCCUCUGGUAUGUACUGAUCUCACUGAUUCCUCCUUCCUUAUGAACCGUAAUGCCAUUAAUUUGGUGUUGCGGGGAAUUUGGACUGUUACUUUGAAAAAAUUAGAGUGUUUAAAGCAGGCUAACGCUUGAAUACAUUAGCAUGGAAUAAUGAAAUAGGACGUUCGAUCUUAUUUUGUUGGUUUCUAGGAUUGACGUAAUGAUUAAUAGGGAUAGUUGGGGGCAUUAGUAUUCAAUUGUCAGAGGUGAAAUUCUUGGAUUUAUUGAAGACUAACUACUGCGAAAGCAUUUGCCAAGGAUGUUUUCAUUAAUCAAGAACGAAAGUUAGGGGAUCGAAGACGAUCAGAUACCGUCGUAGUCUUAACCAUAAACUAUGCCGACUAGGGAUCGGAUGAUGUUAAUUUUUUAAUGACUCAUUCGGCGCCUUACGGGAAACCAAAGUGU